AAAAUAGUAUUUUAUACAGAAUCUGUAAUUUGCACUUACAAGGAGCUUUCGCCUAUUUUA
rnacentral:tRNA from 1 species